rnacentral:rRNA from 1 species
AACGAACGCUGGCGGCAUGCCUAACACAUGCAAGUCGAACGAGACCUUCGGUCUAGUGGCGCACGGGUGCGUAACGCGUGGGAAUCUGCCCUUGGGUUCGGAAUAACAGUUAGAAAUGACUGCUAAUACCGGAUAAUGUCUUCGGACCAAAGAUUUAUCGCCCAGGGAUGAGCCCGCGUAGGAUUAGCUAGUUGGUGAGGUAAAGGCUCACCAAGGCGACGAUCCUUAGCUGGUCUGAGAGGAUGAUUAGCCACACUGGGACUGAGACACGGCCCAGACUCCUACGGGAGGCAGCAGUGGGGAAUAUUGGACAAUGGGCGAAAGCCUGAUCCAGCAAUGCCGCGUGAGUGAUGAAGGCCUUAGGGUUGUAAAGCUCUUUUACCCGGGAUGAUAAUGACAGUACCGGGAGAAUAAGCCCCGGCUAACUCCGUGCCAGCAGCCGCGGU